rnacentral:rRNA from 1 species
GACGAACGCUGGCGGCGUGCUUAACACAUGCAAGUCGAACGGAAAGGCCCUGCUUUUGUGGGGUGCUCGAGUGGCGAACGGGUGAGUAACACGUGAGUAACCUGCCCUUGACUUUGGGAUAACUUCAAGAAACUGGGGCUAAUACCGGAUAGGAGCUCCUGCUGCAUGGUGGGGGUUGGAAAGUUUCGGCGGUUGGGGAUGGACUCGCGGCUUAUCAGCUUGUUGGUGGGGUAGUGGCUUACCAAGGCUUUGACGGGUAGCCGGCCUGAGAGGGUGACCGGCCACAUUGGGACUGAGAUACGGCCCAGACUCCUACGGGAGGCAGCAGUGGGGAAUAUUGCACAAUGGGCGGAAGCCUGAUGCAUCAACGCCGCGUGCGGGAUGACGGCCUUCGGGUUGUAAACCGCUUUCGCCUGUGACGAAGCGUGAGUGACGGUAAUGGGUAAAGAAGCACCGGCUAACUACGUG